rnacentral:rRNA from 1 species
GAUUAACGCUAGCGGCAGGCAUAAUACAUGCAAGUUGAACGGGAUAAGUUGUAGCAAUACGACUUUGAGAGUGGCGCACGGGUGCGUAACACGUAUGCAAUCUGCCCCUAUCUGUGGAAUAGCCCCUCGAAAGAGGGAUUAAUACCACAUAAUAUAGUGAAUAGGCGUCUAUUUACUAUCAAAGCUCCGGCGGAUAGGGAUGAGCAUGCGGCUGAUUUGCUAGUUGGUGGGGUAAUGGCUCACGAAGGCUACGAUCAGUAGGGGGUCUGAGAGGAUGUCCCCCCACACUGGUACUGAGACACGGACCAGACUCCUACGGGAGGCAGCAGUAGGGAAUAUUGGUCAAUGGGGGCAACCCUGAACCAGCCAUGCCGCGUGCAGGAUUAAGGCCCUAUGGGUCGUAAACUGCUUUUGUACGGGAAGAAAUCACACUACGUGUAGUGUGUUGACGGUACCGUGAGAAUAAGGAUCGGCUAACUUCGUGCCAGCCGCCGCCGUAACAC